rnacentral:rRNA from 1 species
CCGCUUGCGCGUGGUGAGAGGCUCGGUUUGUAAGCUCUUUGUCCGAGAGAAAUCUCUGCCCUAUACGGCGGGGGAUGACGUACCUGAGAAUACGCCGGCUCCUACGUGCCAGCAGCGCUGUUAUACGUGGGGUGCAAGCGUAAUCGGAUUUGUGGGUGUAGNGCGUGCGCGGGCUGUGCUCUAGACAGAUGUGAUNUCCGGGGGCUUNNCGUGGGCUCUGCAUUUGUGAGUGGCGGGCUAGAGUAUGGCAGAGGGGGGUAGAUUCCACGUGUNGCAGUGAUGUGCGUAGAUAUGUGGAGGAAUACCGAUGGCGACGCGCCCUGUGGGCCUAUACUGACUCUUAUGCACAACGUGGGAGCAAACAGUAUAGAUACUCUGGUAGUCCCCGCCCUCUAUGUUGUCUAGUAGUUGUCGGGUCUUCAUUGACUUGGUAACGUAGCUAACGCGUGAAGUUGACCGCCUGGGGAGUACGGUCGCAAGAUUAAAACUCAAAGGAAUUGACGGGGACCCGCACAAGCGGUGGAUGAUGUGGAUUAAUUCGAUGCAACGCGAAAAACCUUACCUACCCUUGACAUGUACGAAGUCUGCCGAGAGGUGGAUGUGCCCGAAAGGGAGCCGUAACACAGGUGCUGCAUGGCUGUCGUCAGCUCGUGUCGUGAGAUGUUGGGUUAAGUCCCGCAACGAGCGCAACCCUUGUCCCUAGUUGCUACGCAAGAGCACUCUAGGGAGACUGCCGGUGACAAACCGGAGGAAGGUGGGGAUGACGUCAAGUCCUCAUGGCCCUUAUGGGUAGGGCUUCACACGUCAUACAAUGGUCGGAACAGAGGGUUGCCAAGCCG